UACGGGGGGUGCAAGCGUUAAUCGGAAUCACUGGGCGUAAAGGGUGCGUAGGCGGUUUGUUAAGUCAGAUGUGAAAGCCCCGAGCUUAACUUGGGAACUGCGUUUGAGACUGGCAAGCUAGAGUCUGUCAGAGGGGGGUAGAAUUCCACGUGUAGCAGUGAAAUGCGUAGAGAUGUGGAGGAAUACCAAUGGCGAAGGCAGCCCCCUGGGAUAAGACUGACGCUCAUGCACGAAAGCGUGGGGAGCAAACAGGAUUAGAUACCCUGGUAGUCCACGCCCUAAACGAUGUCAACUGGUUGUUGGGCAACUUGAUUGUUCAGUAACGAAGCUAACGCGAGAAGUUGACCGCCUGGGGAGUACGGUCGCAAGAUUAAAACUCAAAGGAAUUGACGGGGACCCGCACAAGCGGUGGAUGAUGUGGAUUAAUUCGAUGCAACGCGAAAAACCUUACCUACCCUUGACAUGUACGGAAGUCUGCUGAGAGGUGGAUGUGCCUGAAAGGGAACCGUAACACAGGUGCUGCAUGGCUGUCGUCAGCUCGUGUCGUGAGAUGUUGGGUUAAGUCCCGCAACGAGCGCAACCCUUGCUAUUAAUUGCCAUCAUUGAGUUGGGCACUUUAAUAGGACUGCUGGUGAUAAACCGGAGGAAGGUGGGGAUGACGUCAAGUCCUCAUGGCCCUUAUGGGUAGGGCUUCACACGUCAUACAAUGGCCGGUACAGAGGGAUGCCAACCCGCGAGGGGGAGCCAAUCUCAGAAAGCCGGUCGUAGUCCGGAUUGUUCUCUGCAACUCGAGAGCAUGAAGUCGGAAUCGCUAGUAAUCGCGGAUCAGCAUGUCGCGGUGAAUACGUUCCCGGGUCUUGUACACACCGCCCGUCACACCAUGGGAGUGGGUGAUACCAGAAGUAGGCAGUCUAACCGCAAGGGGGGCGCUUACCACGGUAUGAUUCAUGACUGGGGUG
rnacentral:rRNA from 1 species